UACAGAGGGUGCAAGCGUUAAUCGGAGUUACUGGGCGUAAAGGGCGCGUAGGCGGUUGUUUAAGUUAGAUGUGAAAUCCCUGGGCUUAACCUAGGAACUGCAUCUGAUACUGGAUGACUAGAGUACUGUAGAGGGUAGUGGAAUUUCCGGUGUAGCGGUGAAAUGCGUAGAGAUCGGAAGGAACACCAGUGGCGAAGGCGGCUACCUGGACAGAUACUGACGUUGAGGCGCGAGAGCGUGGGGAGCAAACAGG
rnacentral:rRNA from 1 species